AAUAUAUUACCUCCAUCCCAAAUUACUUGUCUUAGAUUUGUCUAGCUACGGAUGUAUCUAACACUAAAACGUGUCAAGAUACAUCCAUAUCUAGACAAAUCAGAGAGAAGUAAUUCGGGGCGGAGGGAAUAUAAA
rfam:Hordeum vulgare subsp. vulgare, WGS project CAJW01000000 data, contig: morex_contig_7720